AAAAAUACUUAUUAGUUCCUUGCAAUGUCUUUAUACAGUAGGAUGGAAGCGGAAGGCCCUGCAGGUGUCAAAAGGUGGACCAUCUGCAAAGAUCGCAAUUUUCCACCAGUCACCACUGGUUGGUGGAGCCCACGCCCAGCCCCAACCCCAUCUAGCCCUGCUGCUCCAUCCACCCUUCCUGCCCCAUCCGGCCCUGCUGCUCCACCAAGCCCUACUGCCCCAUCCCAGCCGGCAUUUCAGAAUGUCCACAGCCUUUUGAGGACAUGCUCAGGGCAUCGGAGCAAAAGGUGAAGUGCACAGCUAGGCAUAGGUUUCUUCAAGACAGGUUUAUAUUUUUAGUGGUAGUGUGGUAGUAACAGUGCUGAGACCAUUUGUGAUGGGAUCUGGGAAAACCAGUCACAUGGUGAAAUUUGACCUUUUGGAAGCUGACUUCAAGCUUGUUUCAAAUAUGUUUUCAUUAUUUGUCUGUUUCAAAUGUUAUGAUUGCCCAAACUCAGCUGAUCAGUUAGAUUUCAUGGAAUAGAAUUUUGACAAAAACAACUUUAAAGAGAGGGGUUCUAAAUAGACUGGCUGGUUGAAUAAAGCACAUUUUAACACAUUCAAUUAAUGAAAACAAGUAGAUAUGUUUAGGGAUGAUAGACAUGUUAUAGAAUAAUAAUUGAAUCAAAACCCAAUUUCACCAAAAUACUGAGUUUCGACCUACUAGUAUUUUCACUCUAAUCUCAAAAAUGUCCCUUUUCACCAUGUGACUGGUUUCCCCAGAGCCCAUCACAGUUUUGGGUUAUAGGAACAUCUGUUGGGAUGGCAGUAAAGACAGAAGGGCUAUGUACAGACAUUACAUGUGUACAAUACUGUACUGUAUGUAAAGAAGAUGAAAUCCUAAUAUUGUUACGAAUAAUAUUGUUGAAACAUUGAAACCUUCUUUGAGUGUGACUCAGAAAUUAUUUUUACAAAGAUACCAGAUAACGGUGGAGGAGAUCAGGAGGAGGACUGCUCCACCUGAUUGCAAACUAUUCAAAGACAGACCACAACAAGCAGCAGAUACAAACUGUCCAUCACGACGGGGCAUUUAAGCGCAGGCGAAGACAGCGAACCCGUAACUAGUCUUUCCCCAGUUUUCCGACCUGUCCCACACUGCCCCAAUAAAAUAUUUAGAUAAUAUUUAUAGUGUAUUAAAUUCUGCCAUCCUUUGUGCUUAGUAAACUAAGCUGUUUGCGUGUGAAAUUUUGUUUUUACCAUUUUACUGUGUGUAUGAGGGUUGUAUUUGGCCUUUAUUUUCAAUAAAGAAUAUGUCACACCCCAUCA